GCCAAUUUAUACGGUAUAAAUAAAAAUCCGUCGCGGUAAAUAACGCUAAAAAAAAAACAAAUUUCAUAAAAAAAAAAAAAAAAAAAAUAAAUAAACAAUAUAAUAAUAAAACGCGGUUAGGUGUACAACACGUCGUCGUCGCUGGGCGGCCGUAAAGUUCCGUCAAAGUUUUAAUGCGCGGCGCCGCCUCCGGUCGUUCGGCCGGCGGCUUUGGAAACCCUCCAAAAACCUUGUACCGCGGUACACGGGAUAAUAAUAAUAAUAACAUAACGGCUAUAGGUUACCGCACAUACCGGUACGCGGUAUUAUAACGGUUAAUUAAUUUUUUCGUUUUUGAAAAAGUAGGUACCGAUCAUAAUAUUAAUAUAUUGUACGCCGCAGUGGUGAAUAUACGGACGGUGUGAUCGGCGUUCCGUAUCACGAGCCGGCGAUUUUCUCGGAGGAUUCGAAGUGGAUUUGAUUUAUUUUAUUCAAUCGUUACGGAAUCGAUCGGACGCCGUUUCACCACUACUGCUCGUGUAGUCCUCGCCUUCAACGAGAGAACAAACUUUUGAUUUUCAAAUACGAUCCCUCCCCCCCCCUGGACAUUUUUUACACGCGUCAAAAUACGGAAUAUUUUUCUAAAAAAAAAAAUGUCGAUAUUGUGUACAAAACGGUCCCACACUAUAGCAAUGGAUUUACCGUUUAUGAGUUACCAAUAACAGUUAGAAAUGUAUACCGUAGAAGUAUGGAAGGGUAUACUCCAUUUCGACGAUUUUAUCGAUAAUAUCCGAUUACUUAAAACUCUGUGAGACAAUUGCUGUUACUACUAACAAAUCAAUCACCCUGUAUGAACGUCCGGGAAAUCAGGAAUCCGUACGGGCUUCCGAAAUAUUUAAGUAUACAUACUGCCCACUGCCCAAAUCUCGAUUUAAACGAGAACUCGUGGUGAACUGAUCUCGGAUUUCGAAAGGGGACCUCGUCUUUUUAUUCGUUAGUUAUUGAGUUUCGUUUUCUGUGGACGAAUGUCGUGUUAAUAGUUAAUAAUUCAAACAUUUUUUUCAAAAACAAAAUUUAAGCGAUUAAAAAAAAAAAAAACAACCCCCCCCCAAUAGCGUCAGUAAUAAAUUAAGACUGUGAAUUUGUAGGAAAUUAAUUUUUUUUUCUAAACUUAUAUUGUAAGACUAUACAUAGCAUUCUUAAUGCAAAGUUUGAAUUAUGAAUAACAAUGAACUCGGUUUUGAAACUUUCAUUUCGUUUUUCCUCCUAAUUAGGUCAUUUUAUUCCUUUUUAUUGCAUUUUGUGGUGUUUAUAUUUUUUUAAACAUUUUUAUUUUUUCACAUUUCAGUGCUUUUUUUAAAAUUUUAAACUCGUUAAUUGGUGCAUUUUUCUGGAAUUUCAAAUGGGUUCAAUAAUUUCCUUUCUAUUUUUACACAGACUUAGGACUAUCUAGAAAACCUACUAGAAACUCGUAAUUAACGUGGUUGUAGUAAUUGAAAAAAAAAUAAAUAAUAAAUAUUAUUAAGACCGAAAAGAUAGAAAAAACCUAUGGGUUUGGGUUCGACGUAUUUUAAUUUUGGAAACGGAUUUCGAUUGAUUAACAAGUAUACUUUAAGUUUUAAUGAUACAAGAACGGUUUGAUUGUAUUUCAGCGUUAAAUAAAACGUGAUUAAAUUAAUUUAUUUGAUCCUAUUUUUACGUAAAUACUGCAAGAAUUUUUCGUCUAUGAUUAAAUUAUAAUUCGUUAAAAAAAUUGUAUAAUCGAGUCUCCAAAUCGUAUCUAUACGUACAGGUGACAACAAAAAGAUUCGAAAUUGUUGUAAAACAGAAAUGUACACUGUUUCCGAUAGGUCCGGAGUCGUGUGCGUGCACAUAUAUCGAAUGGAGAGGAGGGGAUGCCGCAAAAAAUGGCUAUACGCACUGGCCGACUGUCGGGCCGAGUUUGUGUAUAAUUAAAAAAAAAAAACUGAAUGAUAUCAUUCGAAUAAUAAUAAUAUUUUCGUUGACACCGAGAAAAUGUGCCGAAAUUACGAUUUUGAAAUUUCGGUGAUCCAGAAUCCGGAAAAAAAUUACGCCGUUAUAUCGUGAUAAUAUUGAUGUCUCCGAUGUACUGCCGUAGAAUUAACGGUAUAUAAUUAUUAUUAAAAAAAAAAAAAAAAUUAGAAAACCUCUCGCUUGUGGUAACAACCCUCCUACCUUCACCGUGAAUCGUUUAUGAAAUACCUCCCGUGCAAUGAGAUAUCCGGUCGAAAUCACAUUGGACAUCUUUAGUAACUGCAGACGAUAGUGUCGCAUAUUAUGUCGUUCGCGCGUGGCAGAUAUUUCAAGUGAUUUUUUUGAACCGUUCAAAAUACCUGCGCAUCCUACGCGACGAAACCUCGUCGGUCGAAACGUUGAGAUUUUUAUUUUACUUUUUUUUUGCCUUCAUCGGAUACAUGGAAUUUUGUUUACACAUAUUUUUUUUUUAUAAUUAUCGCAGAACGAUUCGACGUGUCAUUCGGUAGACAACACGCAAAAACGAAAAUGCGUAGCCAUAUUAUUUUAUCAAUAACGAAACCUCGUAAGCGGCGAUUAUGACGCGAAUGUUAUUAGCGUGUAUUAUUUUAAAAAGCCCCGGCAAUACGACAUUUAGAAUGUCUCCCGUACAAUUCGGUAAAAUCGAUUUACGUGGUAUUGCUGCGUAACCGACGAUGUGUGACGGCAUUUAAUGACCGUUCAAAAAAAACCUCAUAACGUGAAAUCGAGUAACAUCGUAACAUUACGUGCAGAUCCGCCGACAAAUAUAAGCCGAUAAAACCUCCUAUUCGGCGAAACGUUGACAAUCGAUCCGAUUUUUUCAAAACUAUAUAGGCUAUAGGGAUUCAAAAAUUUAAAAAUUUGAUCGUUUCAAUCGGGAAUUCGGUUUUUUUUUUUUUAUAUAGAACGUUUUUCUUUGUUUCUCCCGAAUAUUGGUUAAUGCGGCAGGAUUUUUUUUUGUUUGUUUUGACGACGUUAUAAAUAAUAAUACAAAAUGUUUUUUAAGUAGCAGUGACGGACGGACGGACGGACUCCCGCGAAAUUUCCAACAUUGUGUAUGAUAUCGAUUUAUGACGUACGUCUAAAUUAUAUAUACAUAUAUAUAUAUAUAUAUAUAUAUGUGUAUGGUAUAUGCGUGUUGUACACACGGAGAGACGCGGACAAUUAUUUUUGAUCAACGGUCCACGAAAAAAGAACGGGAAAAAAAACACACAAGCACACGCACACGCACGCACUAGCAUCACUCGUCCCCUCCGUUUCGCACGUCGGAGUCGGAAAAUAGGGGGAAAAAAAGCGUUCGCGGGUCCGACGAAAAGACGAGCGUGCGAUUCGAAAACUGUAAUGCAUUUUUUCCUCUCGGCAUAUUUUUUCCGUUUCAUUUUGCUCUUGCACACGGUUGGCGACGACAAAAGGACGCGCGCGUUCGUGUAUAGGUCGGUAUACAAUAUUAUAUGUAUGUAUGUAUGUAUGUAUGUAUGUAUGUAUGUAUGCGAACAAGACUGGAGGAGAGUGACAUUCGAAAUGUACGUCGAGCUAACAAAAGAAGACGUUAAGUACUGCUAGAACCUAUUUUUAUUUUUUUUUUCAAUUUCAUCUUCGGGCGGUACUCGCUGUACAUAAAAGGAUAUUAAAAUAUUACCGUGUCCGUUGCAGACCGCGUGCGCCCGGCCGAUGCCCCGCAGUUUUACGGCAGGUGUUUUUUUACCCAAUUUUCCCCAAUUUUUUUUUUUUUUUUUUUUUUUUUUUUUUUGUACAUUAUCAUUCUACUGCGUACCGAAGCCGUUUCUUUCUCCUCGAAUAAAUAAAAUAAUAAUAAUAAUAAUAAUGAUAAUGAUAAGUCGAAUAAAUAAAGAUUUUAACGUCGUACGCACGAGAGCGAACUGCGUGUAUGAUAUUAAAACGAGGGGGUUUCGUUGGAUCGCUGCCCGCGCGUUCCGCGCGUAUUAUUGCUCGCGGGCGUGCGCGCGAAAAUUUACGUCCUCGGGCUCGUAAAGAAACUGUCGAAAAAGACCGUGAAAAAAAAAAAAACCGUACAGAUUCGAACGUUGUCGAUACGGCGGAAUCAAAAACGACUCCGGCGAUAACGCGCGAUUUCCACGCGAAUCCUCACGGCCGCCGCGAUCCACGUGUACAUUUUACGUAUCGUAUACGUAGUGCGCGCGCACGUUUUGGCAUACGUACCGACUCGACUCGCGGGUGCGUACAUCGUUACGCCGCCGCGAACGACAGUUUCUCGUCCGUCCCGCGAGAGGCUACAGAAUAGUACGGCGGCGUAAUGUACCCCUGCGUUUCGAAAAUGCGCGCGGAAUUAUUUUUUUUUUUUAUCUGUACACCUACAUAUUCCUAAUUCCGAUUUUCAAAAGUAAACGUUCGCGGUAAAUGCAAAAAAAACACUGGUAAUUUUCGUUACGAUAUUAUAACAGCUGGUGUGGCGGGACGCCAGCCGCCCCGUAGUGCGACAGUGGCGCGUGAACAAAUAACGAGUGGCUAAAUAAUUACGCGAAUUAGAUCCGCCGGUAAUUCUCGGAUUAAACACAAUAUUUGAACGGUUCACGAAGUUUCUGCGGUUCGAAUAAUGCAAAUACUGAUUUUUGUUAGAAAAUAAAACGAUUUUCGGAAUCUGAAAAUAAUUGUUUGUCGGACAGGGAUUGAACAAAAAAAAAGGCGGAGUACUGGUAACGGGUUGGACGAUUAAUUAAAUAUUUCACUACGCCAGAUUGAGGAAUUGAAACACAUUUACGCCACUUAACCUAUGAGUAGCUGUACCUAUAACAAUACGUGUGCGCGUUUGUUAUUUUGUUUCGGUUUUUUUGGCGAACACGUAGCAACGGCCGCGAACAAGGUCGGAGAAUUUAAGAGAGAAGGACUAGAGGGAGGCUGUAGUCGCGGACCGAAAAACGAAGGGGACGGGCUAUAACGGUUCGGUUAGUUUUAUUGUAUUCAACAAUUUUUUUUUUCAGAUUCCGAGGGAAGCGAAUGUAUGUGCUUUUUUUUUCUAUAAGAAAACAUUUUUUCGGUCAAUAAAAGUUUUUUUCACGUCAAACCUUCAAAGAUACGUGAUUUUUUUUACAGCGGCACAUUAUUCAAAACGUUUAUCGAUAACUCAGGAAUUCGGCAUUAAAGUCACUCAUAUGUUUGUGUUUUUUUUUUUUUUUUUGAAACUACAAAUAUCUCGUACCAAUUGUGUAUAAUAGGUGUACUUAUAUAUUAUUAU